CACACACAGCAAACGUUGUCUUGGACUUCCUGCACGACACUUUCGGUACAUGUGUGAUUUCCCACCGAUAUUCUGCUCGCCACGGAUGUGGACAGAACUGGGCACCCAAUAGUCCGGACAUAAACCCCUGCGACUUCUUCCUUUGGGGUUACCUUAAGGAAAAACUGUUCCCAAAAAAACCUGCCCCAAUCAUGCAGCUCAGGGCUUUGAUUGUUUAAAUGUAUGGUGAAAUUUCGGAGGAUAUGUGCCAUCGAGCAUCACGAACGUAGUCGUUCGUGUUUCGGAAGUUGCACGACAGAACGGUGGUCAUAUUGAGCAUGUAAGCCAUAAAGGAUAAAUCUCCAUGAAUUGUUAUUUUUGUGUUCAUAGAUAUAUAUGUCCCAUUAUAUGAAUGUUAAAGCCUUUAUUUAAACUUUCAAUCGGGUAACAUUUCGUGCACCAUCCUUUAUAAGCUUGAAAUCAGGGUGGCCAACUAUUGAAAAAGAUCCAUUCAUGUUGUGAAGGCAGUCCUUCUUAAUGACACGCACAAGUCAGAAGGCAUGAUUACAGAACAGGACAGAAAGAAUCUUUAAAGGCAAAGGUAGCAGAACAGCAAAAUGAGAUAAACAGGAAGAAUGGGGCACUGGACCAAUACGAAAGAAAGUUAUUGUACAAGAAAGAAUUACAGUACGAAUUUGGAAUUAAAGGCAAAGGGGGAGGGAAGAAGAAGAUAACAGAUGCAUGAUGCUUACAAAUGAAAAUUUGAGAGCGGAAUUAGACGACCUUGUGAAGAAACACCAUGACCUCAAAACUACAUCUGAGGAGAUUAAGUUACUUGUUUUGCAGAGGGAAGUCAAAAGGGCAGAGAAAGAUGGUCUUUUCCUGACUUUCGAAGACCUCUUAACGAGUGCGGCUGAUUUGAAACAGCUGAUAGAAAGAGCCAAAACGGAACAUGAACAUAAAGGUGUCAAGCAGCUGGCGUGUGGUCUGACAGAGGAUAACACACAAGGUCCUUUCCAGAAACUGGUAGCAGCUCCUAAAGAUGACAACACAGCAGACAAAUGCACAUGUGUUGAACACUGGGACAGAACAUCACCUGCUAACCCUACACACAGGACUCUUAACAGAAAUAACAAUGUCCCCAGUUUGGAAUGGCCUUCUCACAGAUUCAAAGGCUUAUAGCACCAGUGAGUGAGGUGCCAGCUCCUGUUGACAAACAGGGUCUCAACAAAUAUUAGCGUGGACAGUUGAAACCCCUACAAGACAUCAAGUCUUAUCCUUCCAUCAUAUCCUACCAGCAGCGCCCAGCAAUGCAAAAUGUUUGUUUAGUGGUGACAAGUAAGAAGGAGCUAGUUCUGGUUCAGACAGAUGUAUUUCUGUAUAUUAGUAGUAGAGAAAAUGUUGUUUCAUUAAGGUAAGAAGUAUUAAUCCCCCACCCAAUGGCACCCAUCCUGUCAGUCCUGCCAAGAGGGUUAACCGGUGGCAUAACACUAGAGCACCCAAGUAAUUAACAGCUUGACUGUGAUAUUUUAUAAAUUUAUCAUCUACCACCAAUCAUUAUCUGUAACCUCAGUGUUGAACGCGUGUUAAUAAAUAGUGGUGACUUCCACAAAAGAACAUCA